UACGGGGGGGAGCAAGCGUUGUUCGGAUUUACUGGGCGUAAAGGGCGCGUAGGCGGUCGUGACAAGUCACUUGUGAAAUCUCCGGGCUUAACUCGGAACGGUCAAGUGAUACUGUCGGACUAGAGUACAGAAGGGGCAACUGGAAUUCUCGGUGUAGCGGUGAAAUGCGUAGAUAUUGGGAAGAACACCAGCGGCGAAAGCGCGCUCUGGACCGAGACUGACACUCAUGGACGAAAAGCUAGGGGGAGCGAAAGGG
rnacentral:rRNA from 1 species